AAUUUAUUAAUGGGAAAAUUACUUUUUAGUCCCCGAGGUUUAACGUAAUUAACACUUCUGUCCCCCUAUUUUGACGACCCAACACUUAAGUCCCUCACUUUCUCUUCCGUCCAAAUUCGUAGUCCUUCUGUCCAUUUAAACCGUUUGGUCAAAGAGUCAAAAGUGAGAUGUGAUGAUUUUUUCCAAAAAUACCCUUCUUUCAAUGUAAAAUUCCAGAAAAAGAAGAAGAAAAAGAAGAAGAAAAAGAAGAAGAAAAAGAAGAAGAAGAAGAAGAAGAAGAAGAAGUUGCUGGGUAGGAAGAAGAAGAAAAAGUUGCUGGGUAGAAAGAAGAAGAAGAAGAAGAAGGUAGGAAGAAGAAGAAAAAGUUGCUGGGUAGGAAGANNNNNNNNNNNNNNNNNNNNNNNNNNNNNNNNNNNNNNNNNNNNNNNNNNNNNNNNNNNNNNNNNNNNNNNNNNNNNNNNNNNNNNNNNNNNNNNNNNNNNNNNNNNNNNNNNNNNNNNNNNNNNNNNNNNNNNNNNNNNNNNNNNNNNNNNNNNNNNNNNNNNNNNNNNNNNNNNNNNNNNNNNNNNNAGAAGAAGAAGAAGAAGAAAAAGUUGAUGGGUAGGAAGAAGGAGAAGAAGAAGAAGAAGAAAGAAGAAAAAGAAGAAGAAGAAGAAGAAGAAGAAAAAGUUACUGGGUAGGAAGAAGAAGAAGAAGAAGAAGAAGAAGAAGAAGAAGAAGAAGAAGAAGAAGAAGAGGGUUAAUUUUGUCAAUUCACGUGUCCCAAACGGCUAUAUUUGACGGAAGGACUACGAAUUUGGAUGGAAGAGAAAGUGAGGGACUUAAGUGUUGGGUCGUCAAAAUAGAGGGACAGAAGUGUUAAUUACGUUAAACCUCGGGGACUAAAAAGUAAUUUUCCCUUUAUUAAAAAGAAAAAAUAAUUAAAUUAAGUAAUUAAUUCAGUGAAACAAUCUUGUAUGGUUUAAUAACAGAAUAAUAUUAUAAUUUUAAAUAUUUUUGUGUGCAGUUGCUUUACUAUUAAUUUUUAUAAUAUUAUUAUAUAUUAAAAAUAUUUUUAUAAAAUAUAAUAAUUAUUUAUAAUUAAUUUUAAUAUUUUAUAAAGUUAUGUAAUAAUAUUCAAUGUGUAAAAAAAAAUACUGGUAUUAUUUAAUUACAGAAUUAUUGUACUAAUUUAUUAAACUAAUAAAAAAUUUUAUCAUUAGAUAAAUAUAUACGAUAUGAUUGAAUUAUUUUUAUAUAUCUAAUUGGAACAUAAUAUCAAUUUUAUGAUUCUAAAAUUAUAUAAUAUCAAUAAUUGUUUAUUUAAAUAUUAAUACUAAAAUCUAUUAAAUAUUAUUAUAUUAAAAUUAUAAAAAAUAUAAUAUAAAUAAUAUUUUUAAAUUAAUAUAAUAUAAAUAUUUUAUUAUAAUAUAUUAAUAAUUAAAAAAAAAUUAAAUCAUUCCCUGGCGCCACUUAUAGUGGCGCUAGGCCCUGGCACCGGUUAAACAGACGCCAAACAUAUUUUUCUGGCAUUUCAACCCUAAAUCCACAAAUAUCUUUCCACUAACUCUUAAUUCAUAAAUUUAAAACCUCCCACCCCUAAAUUGGUAAAAAACCUUCACUUUAGGAGCAUGUUGAAAACAGACUUUGGGCGACCUAAAGUCCAUGUUCGGCGGCCGAACAUUUGAGACUUUUGCCUCUGUCCCUUCUCUUUUCAAACCGAAAGUUUCUCUUUAGGGACAUGUUGAAAACAAACUUUCAGCGGCCUAAAGUCCAUAUUUGAGAGGCCAAACAUAUGUGACUUUUGCCUCUAUCCCUUAUCUUUCGAAAGCCGAAAGUUUCACUUUAGGGGCAUGUUGAAAACAGACUUUCAACGGCCUGAAAUCCAUGUUCGGCGGCCAAACAUAUGAGACUUUUGCAUCUGUUCUUCACUUUCGAAAACCGAACAUUUGACUUUAUGGAACACAAAAAUAUUUCUUUAAAUCUUUGAAAAAUCAUAACUUAUGUUACGAAACUCCAUUUUUCAAUCCGUUUGAAUUUUUGCAACCUAUAUUUUAAAUCUUUUAUUUUGAUAAAAAAAUUUUAAAAUCACUCCUUUUAAAAAAUUUCAUUUUGAUCCCUAAAAAAUAAUUACUUAAAACUUUGCCAUAUUUAUAAAUUUUUAGGAUUAAAAUAAAACUUGAGCUAUCACAAUUAAUUAAUUGAAAUUGACAAUGCAUAAAUUAACAAUACAUAAAGAAAAAAUUACAUUCCGAUUCCUUUCUUGUGAUAUAUUUCUAAAUUUGGCCCUUUUUAUUCUUAAAACUGAAACGAUUUCAUUUAUUUUAAUAAGAGAUUUACAAACUCAAUACAAACACUUAUAAGGAUUUGAAUACUUAGGUCCAACAAAUACUAAAAUCCAUUCAACAAUCAAAGAACAUAUGCCUCAAAUUAUAAGAAUAAAGUUUUAAAUUAGUAACCUCAAAAUCAAUAAUUAACAAAGUAAAUAUAUUAAAUAUACAAAUAAGCGAAGAGAGUAAAAACAUAUUAAGGAAAAAACCAAUCCAUUUUUUCCGAUCCAUUUUUACUAUGGAUCCAUUUUUGUUGAGAGAAGAAUCGAUCCAUUUUUAUCACUAGAGAAGUGCUUUGUAGCGAGGAACAUUAUCGGUCUCUUUCAUGAAGAGCAACAGUCUUCUUCAUUGAGGGUCGAGGGGUAGGAGUGUUGUGAGAAGAAGGAAAAGAACCUCUAUGAUGACCUAAAUAUCAUAGAGAUUAUAAUUUCUAUCUAUAAAAUCAAUGAUUUAUCUCAUAAAAAGAUCAUAAAUCAAAGUAGAUAUCGAUUUCUAGAGAAUUAUCUUGACAGGCUACAUUGUGAUUUCUAAAGGAAUAAUUUUGUUGCUAUUGAAGAAGAAGAGGACUUUCACCAUCGAAAGUCAAAUUAGUUGAAAAAGAGAGAGAAAAAGAUAUUACUGGUAUUAAAAUGAUAUUUCACUUUUUAUACGGUAUUUAAAUAUUUGAUUAACAUAUUUUAUGGACCGAAAGGUCUCUGAUCUUAUGGAUUUAAGUGUUUAAUUUUAAAAAUAUAAAAAUUGAUUUAUAAUUAUACUAAAAUUUAGAGAUUAAAAUGUAAUUUAUUAUAAAAUAUAUAUUAUUUUUUAAUAAUUUAUUAAAUAAGUUAGAAUUAAUUUUAAGUUGGUAAUAUAGUAUAAAAAUACACAUUAGACGAAAUAUUAAAUAUAUUUAAUAACUUUUAUUAAAAACUUACAAAAUACAGGUGAAUACUUAAUUAGAAUAUGAGAGUUUACAAAGAGAAAUUGAAAUAAAUUUAUUUUAUUAAUAAUUUUAAUUGCUAUAAAUUUAAAUAACGGCUAUCUCAGUGCUUGUGUAAUUCGAAAAUUCAAAAUCUUAGAAAAUAACUCAGAAAAUUAAAUAAUAUGUCUAAUAAUAGUGUUUAAAAAAUUACCACGUGGCAUAUAAUUUUAUAUAUUUUAAAGAUAAAUAAGAAUAAUUUAUUAAUUAACUUAUUUUAAAAUUUAAAAUUAAAUUAUAUCUUUAUAUUUCUUAUUCUUCAAAUAAAUAUUUAAAAUCUAUUUGGUGUAAUAAUACUUCCCAUCCUAAUUUCUCUCCUCUUCGUUCUCUUUCUCUUAUACACGCUCACCCUAAUUCAAUUUCUUCCUUGUUUUGGCAUAUCUCAAGUUUUUUCUUCAUGGGACUGUUGCCAAGCUGAUUCUUCUAUGCCUUCACAUGUGGGUGGGCUAUUGAUGCUGUCCAUGAUUUCAGUUGUGGUUUUUUUUAUCUUCUUUUUGUUUUUAAUGCAUCUUGGAUGGGUAGAACAUCUUGAACCUUGUUUUGGCGGAAAACUGGGUUUUUCAGGGACACUGCUAAGCUGAUCUUGCAUACCAAUGACCCACCAUGGUUUCAAUUUUUUUUUUUUUACUCAUUUUUUAAUGUAUUUUGGGUGAAAAAGUAAAACCAUUCUGAACCUUGUUUGUGUUGAAGUUGAUUUUUUUUUUCUAGCAAAGAUAGAAGUUGAUUUAGUUGAGGUAAUUUCAUGCAAUGUGUUUGUUUUUCAUCUGGGUGAAAAUAACAAUCAAAGGAAAAGAAAGACGUGAUUCUUCUGGUAUGCUCUAUGUUUUAUAGAUUCAAAGAGGAUGAGGAUGAAGGAUGUGUGUUCUAUACAGGUUGAGAGUGAUGCAUGUAACCUGUUUGUUGAAAUGUUUGAGUGUUGAACAGUGCAAGCAUGUAAGUGUGAUAUUUUUUUUAAAAGAAUUGUAAGGUUAAUUAAGGGCAACGUGGUAAUUUCAUGUUUCUCUGAGAAUUAAAAUUCGUGUUUAUUUUAAAAAUAAAGAUAUUAAUUACAUUAAAAUUUAAGAAUUAAAGUUUUAUUUAUUUAUUUAUAAAUUAUUUUACAAUUAAAUAUAAAUUUUUAUUUAAAAAAGUACUUUUUUGACUUGUAGCCUGAAUGCUAAACAAAAACUAAGAAUCUAUUAAUUUCGUAAGAAAUAAUUUGUAUAUAAAUAUAUAUUUUAUAAAAAAAGAUUUGAAAAAGGCAAUAAUCUUUUACUAUUAAUCAAUAAAAUAUAUAUUAUUAGUUAAAAUAAAAAAUAAAUUAAUUUAAAGAAAAUAACAUUAUAUUUUUAAAAAGAAAAAAUUAUUUUUUAUGUUUUGAAUAUGUAGAGAAGAAAUAUUGUCCUUAUAAGAUAUAUUUGACAAAGAAAAAUCAGUGUCAAUAAAUCACAACUCUGAAAUCUAAGAGAUAAAUCAACACUUGGGAUGAAUACCUAAUUCCCAUACCUAUUAAUUCACCCCAUUUUCACUGGGAACCUGGAGAUUGAAGCUCAGUUAAGGCUCAAAAUCUUCCCACCAUACCAUUCAUCAGAAGAACAGGAUCUGCAUCUGGUUCCACAAGAUUCAAAGCAAUGGGAUUGGGAAUAGCCUCAUUAAAUUCUAGACAAUGCCAAAAGGUUUUCUGUCAUGGUUAUCAUUGUUGCCAAAUUCCCUCAUAAUCACUGUCAAGAUUUUGGAAGAACAAAAACAAAUACAAAUACUCACUUCACAUUUCACAUUAGAUUUCCAAAAAAUCAACAAGCAAUUAGUAACUUUACUUACUGGGUAAAGGAUCUUGAUGAAGAAGCUCAACGCUGUUCUUCAUUAGAGAACUUGCCCAUUAAGCACUCAGCUCAGCUUAUCUGCAAAAGGAAAGGACCACCACCACCAUCUUCCAAAUACAGCAGAAAUUAACAAAUGGCAGCUGCCCAAAAGGCAGAAACCCAAAAGCAUUACUCCACAAAAAGAUAUUGAAAAAAGAAUAAUAUCUCAGUGUCAGCCGCCAUCCAGUCAAACCCACAAGUUUUGACCAAAAAUUUUAAAUUUUUUCCACACAUACAGCCCAAACAUACCCCACCCAAUUAAGUAUUUUCCACAGUCAAACUUCUCCCUGUGAGCUUCCUCGAAGCCCUUCAAUCCAAUUACUUGCUCAAUACGUGAUCAACUUCCCUUCUUCUCCUUCUUCAACCACACCCUAACCUUUCAUCCUCAGCCAUUUUUCUCCAUUGUUUUCUCUCUCAAAUACUGAAAGUUCUCAUCUUUCUUUCUUUUUCUUCUUGCUGUUUUUAUUUAUGCCAUGGCUUUUUCUUCUGGGAGCUUAGAUACGUCUGCAAAUUCUCAUCAUUCAUCGAAUUUCAGUUUCUCCACUUACUCUUUCAUGUCCACGUCGUUCUCUGAUCUUCUUGCAUCCGGUGCCGGUGAUGAAGCUCUUAAUACCCAGAGUGAGAAUCAACGGCGUGGGUUGUCCGAUCGAAUUGCUGAGAGAACUGGGUCAGGUGUCCCUAAGUUCAAAUCUAUUCCACCUCCUUCUUUGCCCAUCUCUCCUCCUUCUGUUUCUCCUUCUUCUUACUUUGCUAUUCCUCCUGGUUUAAGCCCCACUGAACUUCUGGACUCUCCUGUGUUAUUGAACUCUUCCAACGUAAGUUUUAUGUGUUUCCGUACAUGUGCUCUGUUUUGUUUCCUUAUGUGCUCUGUUUGGCUGUUUUAGGAAAGAAACAUGUCUUUUUAGAUUGUUUGGUUAGAUUGAUUGAAUUAUUGGCUGAUGGGGUUUGCUUGUUGUUGUUUUUUUGUACAGAUUUUGCCAUCUCCAACUACUGGGACAUUCCCAGCUCAGGCUGCCAAGUGGAGCACGAGUUCUGGUCGAAACCAGCAAAAUGUCAAGCAAGAAGACCCCAACUUUUCUGAUUUCUCUUUCCAGCCACCGACAAGGCCUCCCACAGCCUCAUCUGCAAUGUUUCAAUCUUCAAACACUAGAAUUCAAACCGUAAGGAGCAAUUAUUGAUCUUCUCUAAUCAAAUUGUGUCUGUUUUGUUUGUAUUGAAAAUGGUUUUUAAAGAUUUGUUUGAUUAUAUAUUCUCAGGCACAGCAACAAGGAUGGAGUUUCCAAGAAUCUGUGAAGCAAGAUGAUUUUGCUGCAGGGAAAAGUAUGCAGAGCUUCUCCCCAGAGAUUGCUGCGAUUCAAACCAACGAUGGGUUGCAGUCAGAUUAUGGCGGUGCUCAUCAACAGCAAUAUCAGUCAGUUAGAGAACAGAGAAGAUCAGAAGAUGGUUACAAUUGGAGAAAAUAUGGACAAAAGCAAGUUAAAGGAAGUGAAAAUCCCAGAAGUUAUUACAAGUGCACGUACCCCAAUUGCCCUACAAAGAAGAAAGUUGAAAGAUCUUUGGAUGGACAAAUAACUGAGAUUGUUUACAAAGGUAGCCACAACCAUCCUAAGCCUCAAUCUACUAGAAGAUCAUCUUCAUCAUCAUCAGCAGCAGCAGCUUCCAAUCACGCAAUCAUAGCUCCUAAUCUUCCAUCAAAUGAGAUGCAAGAUCAAUCACUCGUCACCCAUGGCAGUGGACAAUUAGAUGUUGCAACACCUGAGAACUCCUCAAUAUCCAUAGGGGACGAUGAUUUUGAUUCCCAGAAGAGCAAAUCUAGAAGCGAUGAGUUUGAUGAAGAUGAACCAGAGGCCAAAAGAUGGUAAAUUUCUGAUUAAAAAGAAAGAAUUCUAGUUUGUUUAUUGAAGACGAGCUAAAGAUUUUUAUUGGGUUUGUUUCAGGAAAGCAGAAGGAGAAAACAAUGAAGGGAUUUCAGGAGGUGGAAGCAGAACAGUGAGAGAACCUCGAGUUGUGGUUCAGACAACAAGUGACAUUGACAUUCUUGAUGAUGGAUACAGAUGGAGGAAAUAUGGGCAAAAAGUAGUCAAGGGAAAUCCAAAUCCUAGGUAUAAAAGCUUGUCCACUUUUGAUUCAAGUUUUUAAAUUAUCAAACAGCUGGUGUUCUGUCAAUCUUUUUUGUUUUCUAAUGUUGUUUUUCUAAUUUAUGUUCUAAUUAUUACAUGCAGGAGCUACUACAAGUGUACACAUCCAAGUUGUCCUGUAAGAAAACAUGUAGAGAGAGCAUCUCAUGAUUUCAGAGCAGUGAUCACAACCUACGAAGGGAAGCACAACCAUGAUGUCCCGGCAGCUCGCGGCAGCGGCAAUUCUGUGAACAGGGCGCUGCCGGAGACUAACUCUGCAGCUAUGCCUAUGACAAUAAGGCCAUCUGCAAUGAACCAUAACUCACUUCGCCAUCUUAAGUUACCACCAAAAACAUCAGAAGGGGAAGCACCCUUUUCACUGGAGAUGUUUCAGAAUUCCGACAGUUUUGCGUUCUCAGGGUUCGGCAAUCAACUGGGUUCUUACACGAAUCAAACAUCGUCAGACAAUGCUUUUUCCAGAGCCAAAGAAGAACCGAGAGAUGAACUGUUCCUGGAAUCAUUGCUGUGCUGAAAUUUGCAGGCUUCUGAAGGAAGAAGAAGAUAAAAGAGAAUGAUGUGGAAAUAGUAAUUUUGAUUAAUUGCAUUGUGUUUGUUUGUUGUGUAUAUUGAUUUUUGUAAUGUUGUGAAAAUUACAUUUUUUAAAAAUUUAUUUUUUGAUUGUUUUGGGGCUGACUGUAUCUCAAGCCUCGAUUCAAUUUUGUAUCCCAGCUCUUGUUAUUUGUUAAUUUAUUAAUGGGUUUACUCCUAAAUUAUAUAAAAAUAAAUAUAAAUAUUAAAAUUUUAAUUGUAAAUUUUUUAAAAAUUAUCAUUAAAAUUUUAUUAACAUUUAAAAAUAUGAAUUACAUUUAUGUGAGUUAUAUUAAUUUUCAUUUAUUUGAUUUUAUUUAAAUUUUUAAUAAUAAUUAAAAAAUAAAUUUAUAUUAAAAAUAUAAUAUAAUAUGCUGAUGUGUUAAUAUAAUUUAUAGACAAAUUUAAUAUUUUUGCCUAAAAAUUUAAGAAGAGGACUUUUUCGAUUAAAUUAAAUUAAUUUAAAAUUUUAAUUUAAUUUUUUAUUUAUUUUAAUUUUUAAUUUUAAAAAUUUCAAUUAUUUCGAUUCCCUUCAAUUUUAAUAAAAAAAUCGAAUCGAAUCGAUUAAUAAUAAUAAUAUAUUAUUUUUAAUAAUAUAAAAAAAUUAAAUUAUAUUAAAAUUAAAAUAUUUUAAUUAAAUUUUAAAAUAUUAAAAAUAAAAUAUAAAAAAUAAAAAAUUUAUUAAAAAUAAAAAUUAAUUAAAUUAAAUUAAUUUAAUUCAAUUUAAUUUUUAAUUAAAAUUAAUUUAAUUUUUAAAAAUAUUUAAAUUUUAAUUUUAUUCGAUUUUAAAUCGAAUCCAUAGAAUUUCCAUCUAUAGCAGGGUGAUGAGAAAGGAGGGCGACAGGGAGGAUGCAUUUGCAUUGCAUACGCUAUUAAUGUUUGAAUAGGUCAAAUGAGAGGGCUUGAUAAACAAGUUGGUCAAAGUCAUAUUUUAAUUUAUAUAUAAGACCAAUUAGAAAUUUCCAAAUGACAAUUUUGUCCUUACUCUUUAGAGAAAUUUGCAAGUGUAACAAGGGCAAUUUGGUACAUAAAGGAGAAGUAUCGGAUUGUAUAAAUGUGGAGAGGGGUUGGGAGAGAAAGAGACGUUAACUUGAUGCACACGGUGCAUUUAAAGUAAAGUGAUCCCAACUACCGACUCAACCAGAUUAGGUGUCAAAUUAACCAGAAAUUAUUUAGUGAUUUUGAAAUAUCACGUCAUAUAAAUAAUAAAAUAUUUUUAUUAAUGAUUACUGUUGAAUUUUUCCAUCCGGUCAGAAGUCAAGCCCACGAUAAUGGCUCAUCAUUCAAAAAUCCACACAUCCUCUGCACUAACUGGUUAGGCUCAUUCGAGCCUUGAAACCGAGCCCCUCUGAAUUUCUCAACCAGGCCGGCCUCGCCUUCACUGCUCCUCGGGUUGAUCCCCUUUGAGUCCAGCUUUAUUUCUAUCUUCUGGCCCAGCCUGAAACCAGAAAAAAGAUUCAUUUAUCUGCCUUGUGAAUCCAUCUACACGCGCACUGAGAGGAUCAGAGACCGUUACGCAUGGGACAGAGAUCUGAUUCCCUCGUACGUCCAUAUCAACGUAGCAGGGACAGGUGGUCUAAUGAUAUACAUUCUAUUACCACGUCAGUAGCAAACAAAAGAAAACAUAUAAAAGGAAAAGUACUCUCCUCUAUGCUUAAAUCUUUUCCAAUUUUAUUGUAAAAUCUUAUUUUUCUAGAUUUCAGAUUAUCAAUUAAUAAAAUAAAAUAAAAUAUUUUUAUUAAUAAUGAAAUAUUUAUUUUUUUAUUAUAAUAAUAUAUUAAAUAAAUAAAAAGAAAAUCAAUUAUUAUGGCACGCCAAAAAAAGCUCUCAUCAACAAAAUACAUGCAUCGGAUAAAUUAGAUUAUUGGUAAAUUAUGAAAUGAGAAUAUUGACGAUGGUUAAAUCAAGAAUAUAUAAAAUUAUUGAAUAAAAAAUUAUAAAAAUGAUUUGCAUCAAAUUCGUGUGCGCUUUGUAAUCUCACAAUUUGGGAGCAUAUUCAAAUCAAAACUUUAACCCUAAAGAUACCUUUGAAAAGUUUUUCUCUUUUCUUUUUUAAGAAUCUGUUUUUACAUAUAAAAUUUUACAGUUAGAAAGUCUAAAUAAACUCUAAAUUUUUUUAUUCAAAGUUCAAAUAAAAUCUUGAAUUUUUUAUUUUAUGUGUUAUACUAUCGAAAUAAAAUUAUGUCGCGAUUAAUUAAUAUAUAAAAAAAAUAUAAAAUGAUUCGCACGGAUACUUAAGUAAAAAAAUGAUAUAAAAUAGUAAAAAUAAAAAAUUAUUUAAAAUUCAAGAAUAAUUAUGUAAAAAUAUAUUUAUUUGUUUCUGUGAUUAUUAAUUUUUUAUAUCGUAAAAAAAUAUAAUUAAUUAUAAUAUAUCUUAAAAUUUUAGUUGGUAUCAACUAAUUAAUAAAAAUUUCUAUCAAUUAAUUAAUUAAAAAUUUCAUAAUUAUAAACGUAAUUGUUUCAUUAAAAACAACUUUAUAUAAAUACACACUUAUUUAGAAAAUAAUAAGUUUUAAUAAAAAAUCAACUAUCGAUUUAUCAAACACUUUUCAUAUGUAACUAUAUUUAUAGUCACUGCUCAUAAUUUAAUUUGAAGUAAUACAUGUAAAGAAAUUAUAAUUUAAUAUAUUAAAUAUUUUUUAAUUGUUAAUAUUUAAAAUUAUUAAAUGUUUUUAAUUAAUUCAAACAACAAUAAAAAUUUCAAAAAUAAAAUAAUAAUCAAUUUUUAGAGAUUAAAAAAUAAAUAAAAAUAAAAAUUUUAUUGUUAACAAAUAAUAUUUUAUUAUUUCAAAAUUUUUAAAAUUUAAAUGUAAAAUUUAAAAUUUUAUUUGGCCGAAAAAUCAAAAUUACACUUUUUAUAUGAAAAAUUGGAUUUAUUUAAAUUUUUAUUACAAAAUGAGUAAUUUGUUUAGAUUUUUUAACCUAUAAUAUUUUAUUAUUACGAGGAAUCUUUUAUCCUAUUAAAUUCAAAUGGGUAUCAUGUUCUUUGUUUAACAAAAUUACAAAACGAGCCCUUUUUCUGAAAAAAUAAAGGGCUAAAUUACCAAUUUACCCUUUAAUUCUAUCAGAACUUACUGGCCUAGACUUGGCUAAGGAUUGAUUUCGGUUCGAAAUCCACGGUUCAAUUUAAUUUAUAAAUCAAACUAAAACCAAUAUAAUCUGAUUUUGAAUUUUUUAUGAUUUUGAUUUAAUUUUAAUAUUAUUUUAUAGUGAUUACAAUUAUAAAUUUUUUGCCGUUUUGAUUUCAGUUUUAAUUAAAUUAAAAUUAUAAAUACUUAAUUCAAUUUCAAUUUUAAAAAAAAUUAAAAUAAAAUAUAAAAAAUAAAUAAGCAUCUUAAAUAUUAUUGAUAUAUAUUUUAUUAAUAAAUAAUAUAAAAAAUAAAAUAAUAUUAUAUAUAAUAUAAAAUAAAAAUAAUAUUAUAUUUAUAUGUGUACAGUAUUUUUAUGAAUAAAAAAUCUUUAAAUUUAAUUAUUUAAUAAUUUAACUUAUUUAUGUAUAAAUUUUAAAUGAUAUAAUUUUAUAAAAUAAUUUAUUUUAUAAAUAAAAAAUCAAAUUAAAAUAGAAUUGGUUUUAAUUUUGAAUUUUUUAUUUUAAUAAAAUAAAUUAUUUUUAUUAUUUAAUUUUAAUUUAAAAAAUAAAAUAUAUUGAUAAUUUAUAUACAGAAAUUUUAAUAAAAUUUUUAAAAUAUAAAAAUAAGUUAUUUUUAUUAAAAUAAUUUAAUUUUUUAAUAAAAAUAUUUUUUAUUAAUUAAAGUAUAUGGAAGACGUAAAUUAUAUGAAGUUGAUGAAUUUAGUUUUGUUUAUUCUGAAAAAGAAGUUAAAAGAGAAUAUAUUGACACGUUUGGCAGUCCAAGACCGAUUUGUACACUUUCCCUCCCUCCAUGUCUUACACCUCAUCGCUUUUCAAUAGGAACGCAAGCCUCUGUUCUCUGCAACAAUAUCAACUUUCCCUCCCUACUCUCCAUCUCUCUCUCUCUCUAUAUAUAAUUUAAUUUUUAAUUUUUAUAAAAAAAUCAAUUAAUAUUUUAAUAUUUAAUUUUUAUAAAAAUAUAACUAUUUAAUUAUUAUAUGCGAAUAUAAAUUAUAUAUAAUUUAAAUUUUUAGGAGUUAAAUAUAAAUAUAUAUUUUAAAAUUUUAAAAGUUAAAUAUUAUAUUUUAUAAAAUUUAAAUAUUUAGUUAUUAUAUUUUAUUAAUUUCAAUAGUUAAAGAAUUAUAUUUGUAAUUUAAAAGAAUUCUUUUUUAUAAUAAUUUUGGGUUUAUUCAUAUGCCUUUGGAUCUUUCUUUUCUUGAUAUAAUCUUCAAGUUGGUUAAAAGAAGUAGCUAGCUUUCUGGGUUUUCAUUUUUGUAGCCUUUAAUUUGCUUGCAUAGCUUUGUAUACCGCUUUAGAGAAUCGAGAGAAGACAACAAUGGCGGAUAAAGACUCAGAUUUCCCUUCUCAGAAGCUACCCUCUGCCUCUCAGGUAAUUAACUCCGCCGCAGAAGCAGACAGACGUUGGCUUUUCUUCAUGCCUUGCUUGUUGUUUCUGUUAGUGAUUGUGACAAAAACGUUUGUUUUUUGGGUUUAACAGGUUCUUGAAGAGCUAAAAGAGCUAUGGGGAAUGGCUUUGCCAAUAACGGCUGCUCAUUUAAUGGCGUUUUUUAGAGCAGUGGUCUCAUCCAUUUUCUUGGGCAGGCUAGGCAGUCUGGAGCUAGCCGGUGGUGCACUGUCCAUUGGGUUCACCAACAUAACUGGCUACUCAGUUCUAGUGGGCUUAGCCUCUGGACUAGAGCCAGUAUGCAGCCAAGCUUAUGGCAGCCAGAACUGGGACCUCUUAUCACUCUCUCUCCAACGCAUGAUCUUAAUCCUUUUAAUAGCAAUCAUACCCAUAAGCCUCUUAUGGCUUAAUCUCGAAACAAUCAUGAACUCAAUGGGUCAAGAUCGAAACAUCACAGCAAUGGCGUCAACAUAUUGUAUAUACUCUCUCCCUGAUCUUUUAACAAACACUUUGCUACAACCUUUGCGAGUUUUUCUAAGAUCACAGAAGGUGACAAAGCCCAUUAUGUACUGCUCACUCAUGGCUGUUGUAUUCCACGUGCCACUGAAUUACAUGCUGGUAGUGAUGAUGGGGCUUGGGGUCCCUGGGGUGGCAAUGGCAUCAGUAGUAACUAACAUGAACAUGGUGGUUUUGAUGGUGGGGUAUAUGUGGUGGGUACGUGGAUGGUGGGAGAUGAAAUGGACGGGUGGGAUUGGAGGGGUGUGUGAUGGAGUGGGGCCAUUGUUGAAGUUGGCAGUGCCUAGUUGUUUAGGUAUCUGCUUAGAGUGGUGGUGGUAUGAGAUAGUGAUUGUAAUGGCAGGUUACUUGCCAAAUCCAACACUGGCCGUGGCGGCCACUGGGAUACUAAUUCAGACGACUAGCAUGAUGUACACUGUUCCUAUGGCUCUUGCUGGCUGUGUCUCUGCUCGGGUAUAUCUCUUUCCGGCUCUUGAAAGUCAUGCUUUUCAAUCGGUUGAGUGAUUGCAUCACUUUAGAAACUCAAUCUAAAUCACUUAUGUAAUGUGAUUGGACAUAACUUGUAUUGUAUUCAACAAUCUCUUUUCAAAGAUAUUGGCUUUGUUGAAUCAAAGCUUAGAAUUAAUAUCCUCUUGACAUUGCAGGUGGGGAAUGAGCUUGGAGCUGGUAGGCCAUACAAAGCAAGGUUAGCAGCUAUGGUUGCAUUGGGAUGUGCCUUUGUAAUUGGUAUCAUCAAUGUCUCAUGGACAGUGAUCCUUAAAGAGAGAUGGGGUAGUUUGUUCACUAAAGAUGGUCUUGUUAAAGGUUUGGUAGCAUCAGUUUUGCCCAUAAUAGGCCUUUGUGAGCUAGGCAACUGUCCUCAAACAACUGGCUGUGGGAUCUUACGUGGCACGGCUCGACCUGUGAUUGGGGCUCGUAUCAACUUGGGUUCAUUUUACUUUGUGGGUACCCCAGUUGCAGUGGGCUUGGCUUUUGGGCUCAAUAUUGGAUUUGUUGGGCUGUGGUUUGGACUCCUUUCAGCGCAAGUGGCUUGUGUUGUAUCUAUUCUUUAUGUUGUGUUGGUCCGAACGGAUUGGGAACAUGAGGCAUGGAAAUCUAGGAAGCUGACCAGCAUCGAAAUGAGUCCAAGCGAUAGUGUCGAAGGUAAAGAACACGAAGAGGAAGAAGAAAGAAGGUUACUAGUUAAUGGAAAGCACAUUCGACUUAUAUUUUCUGAUUACUGAUAGAAUAAGUGUGCAAACUAUCUUAUAAAUAAAUUCAGUGUUCAGAAUAUUUAAAGAAAGAAAGCAGAAGAUCAAAUAUGUUGAUAUACAUCGCAUAUGUUCUCAACUUGAUUAGGCCACCGUAUAUGUACGGACAAUUGAGAUAGCUGUCUAAGAAGACAAACAAAAGAAGUUGAAUUUGAUAAAAACAUCUUUUUAGUGAUGUCUUUGUGCCUAUUCUGUCUGUGGGGUUGAUUUGGUUCCUUCUUUAGAAAUUUUGGAAGGAUCACAUGGGCAUGGCUCCAAAAGGCAAAACAUAAAAAACAGCACUUUGAUCUGCUCACCCUAUCGACCAAAAAAAUAGGGAUCUCUAUCUCUAUCUCUAUCUCUAUCUCUGUGCAUAUAUAAUACAACUUUGUCAAACAAAGAUUUAAAGAGAAACAUUCCCACAAAGCACCAAUGAACUUCAAGUAAUUUGCACAUGAUGUAAAGCAAGAACAUAUUUUCUCUUUCUUUUACCUUGAAACAAACAGCACUGAAAGGUAAAUGCAGCAUCUUUGCUAGGACUCUAUGGCUCUACCCAACAAUUGCCCUAAAUUUAGUCCAAAAAUACAACAAUUAGUCAUAAAAAUUCACUUAAUGUAGGGUGAAUUUAACAGCUACCAAAUCGGAUGCAUUAGCAACAACUUUAAAUUACCAAUGGGAAUAUAAACUGUAUCUUCAGCUAACCUAAGAGUCCAUAAGAAGCCAACCAUUGAAGAAACAACUCUUGAACAACAUUAUCAUUUUCAAUGUCGAAUUGUGCUAGUUCAUGUUCAAGCUCCAAGUAAGAAAGCAUCCUUACUUCAUAAUAGAUGCUCUUUCAUGCAGGCCAGCUUACUCAUUGAUAAAAGAUCUUCUAGAAUACAGAAAAAGAGGUUUUGAAAUUCUUGCCCCUGCUUGACUGUGUGAGAAUCCAGCAUCUUCAACUGUAUCAGAACGCACUAAAUCGGAUCAUCUUUAUCGAUGAUUCCACUAAUCUUUCCUGACAAUUGUCACUUAGUAGAGAUACCCAAUAUGUAGCCAGUGGUCAUAGCACAGAUUAUCUUUCAACAUUGCCACUCCUCUAAAAAAUAUUAUCAUAGAUGCAUAUCAUAGAUGCAAACUGGUAAUCAUAUAUCCACUUGGCCACAGCCUUCAAGUGCCAACUGCUCAGGUACCCAUGAAGCAUAUUAGAUUAUCAAACUAUCAAGCCAUGAAUCAUAGUCUACUCGCCAAAUUCUAAUCCCCAUAGGCAUUUCUAACUGUAUAUAAGCUACUAUGCAUAAAUCAUAAUUUUAUUUUCUAAUCUCCAGUAAAAAAAGACUUCCCAGAAACCAUACUUUAACAUCUAUCCAGGUUUCAGUGCCACAUUAACAUCAACUUACCUGCCAUUUGUUUGACUUGAAACCUUAAGAACAGCAAAUUUUAUAUCCGAUUGUUCAUGAGCAAAAUCAAUCAAAAACCAAUCGCUCGUUGAGGGUUGAGAUGACUCUCACUCAACCAGUUUAAUCCGCAACAUCUUAUCUGCCUGACAAGAUCACACCAUCCCACUUAAUUUUGGCACUUAUCCACUCUCCAUUUUUGUUUCAAAAUAUGUUUAAUGGAAGUAAAAGUAACAGGCAAAUCUGCAUAGCAAACAGAGAGAGAUAUUAUGGUAGAAUGGGCAAAGAUCAAGGGAAAUGUAGGUGUUCUGAAUUGCAACGAGAUGUUUGCAUAAAGAAAAUAUAGAGGUUUAAAAUAGCAUGCUUGAUUAACAAUGUCCUAGCAACUAAAACACAUCAAAUCACAACAAAUAUAGUGGCAAAUAUGAAAGCAAUCUGAAAAUUUAUAUUGAUCAUAUAAAUUAUAACGUCCAUGUGUAUGUAUGAACGAGAGAGAGAGAGAGAGAGAGAGAGAGAGAGAGAACAGAGAGAUGAAUAAGAAAUCAAAACAAUAAAAGACUUCUACAACCCACCUUUUAGAAAAGAGAAUUUGAAUAGCAGCUUCAAAUCAGAGCAAAGUAGGUCAUGAGAGCAUGGUGCAUUUCCUUAAGAUUGGAAAGAGACAAGGAUAGUGAAAGAUUAUUUAAAAUUAUCAACACAGCACCUUGUGAUUGAAGAUAAUCAACAAUGCAUUCUUGAGACUUGCUAACUGUAAGCCAUUGUACUCUGGUGUCUCAAAGAGUUCGACAAGUAUUAAUAGUCAUAAGUAAUUGUGAUCAAUGUAAUUUACCAUCUCCGUCAUUGAAUUUUUGUGUAAAGACAAUUAAUCCGACAUAGACCUGCAUGCUUAACAGAUAAACACUUUUCCAUCAAAUCAAUAGAAAGAGCUCCUCAUUCUGAUAAUCUAAAAUCAAAUAAGAGGCAAUUAGGUAUGCUUAAUCAUUUAUAGGCCACAAUAUAUCAAUCAACAAUAAAAUACAUUACCUAUUAAGAAAGAUGAGGCUUAGUUUCCACUAAACAACAACUAUUAUUGUAAAAGAUCAUUUAGUUAAAAUCUGCAAGGAUUUGGACUGCACCAACUUUGUUCAUUUUGCUUAUCAGAUAAUCAGAGAUGUUCUUAGAGCUCAUGCAACAAUCAUUUUCUUCCUUAUUUCAAGCGGAGGGAGAGCUUUGGUACAAUGCAGUGGCAGAGUCAAAAUUAGGGGGCCAGUGACUAGUGAGUGGAGGAGAAAGAGGAGUUUUGAAGACCCUUUCCUUAGCUCCAUCACUAGUGCAACAUUAAAAUUGCUUUUUCCUGUUUUCAUAUGGUUACAGAGUUUUAAAGUUCAAAUCAAUUACUAAAGGAUAAAAAGAAUUAUUAAAAGACAAUAUUCUCCGCCUUCAAUUAUUAAAAAAAAAGGGAGAAACUGCUGGGAUUAAAAGGGAUGGGAAAAAAUAAGCAAACUUCUAUCUUAACCACAUUUAAACUUUCUACUUCCAUAAGGAAAUAUAUUAUAAAGCAAAGACCGCUAAAAGAAGGAAAUAAGAAGGGAAAAAAUAAAAUAAAAGAAGAUGACAAAUUUAUAUCUUAACAAUAUUUCUAUCAAAUUCUAUAUAAUAAAACUUGGAAAAAAGGUCCUUGUUAACUUUAACAUUGUUAAUAUUAAAAAAUUCUAGCAAUCAAAUUAACUUUGAAUUGUAUUUUUCGUACUUUAUUCUGAGUAAGGAUUUCAUUUAUAAGAAAUCUUAUCUAUCUUCCAACACCAUUUUCAUCCCUAACCUGUUGCAUUUUAUUGCUCUGAUAACAAGCAAUCACAGUAUGAAAUAAGGGGUGGUAUCCCAGUUUGGCCAGGCCAUUCCUCACAAGGCUUUAUUUUUGGGCUGUAAACACUGUUCCAUACAUUACAACAAUUAUUUUGAUCAAAAGUAAUCACAGUACAAAUGGUAAGCUAAAGGAAUAGCCAAAUGCUAGAUUGUGGUCAAUGAAAAAUCAUUAAGGAAGGCAGACUUGAACGGAGCAUCACCCUUGUGGGCUCUAGGGAGGUUGAUGUAUGCAGCUUUACCUUUGUUUUGCACAGAGAUGCAGCAUGAACUAAGUUUUAUUUGUAUAUUUGCUUCAUGAACUAAGUUUGAACAUCUUCUAGACUACACAUUCUAAACUUGCUUUUUGCUUCAAAAAAUAUAUAAUAUACAUUCUAAAUUUGCAUUUCACUCAAGAAGGCUUUUAUAUUUGCAUUUUGCUUUAAAAAGGCCCUCGCCUUGCUUCUUGCCUCAGGCUUAGAAAGCCUUUUUUGUUUGCAUUCAGGAUGUUCCAGCAAGCUGAACAUCGAAUUUCAACCAAAUAAUCACUUUUUUUCUUUUAAUCAUUUAUUUGAUCCUUAAUCAACCUUUGAACCAAAGGCCCUUUAUUAUGUACAUCAAAACCUAAGGUCAUCAUACUCUCAAGUUAUGUGCAUCAUAAAAGCAUUAAUACAUUGGUUGUUCCACCUGUUCUACAUCAAAGCCAUAAUUUUUCACACCCAUGUAUGGAAAAUCAAAUCAUCUAUUUUUCAAGCCUUAAGCAAUUGAACAAUUUUCGAAAUGAGAAGACACUAGACAGAGGCUGCCCUUCCUCGCACAAUUUAAGUGUGACACAUUUUAAGUUCAGAUAGAACAAUAGAACUGCUUUUUAUCAACACAAUUUUUAUUUUGAGAUAGAAUCCUUAAUUUCAAGGUAAGAAAUUGCUCACAAGUAACCAUUUUUAUUCCCAUUAUCCAUGGAGAUGCAAGGAUUGUGUAACAAAGAAUUUAGAUUUUUUUUUUCUUUCCACCUUUAUGUUGGCCAUUAUUAUUGCGGGCCCUGUAUCUAAGAAAGUCUACUCUAGAGCAUUAGCACGAAGAGGAAACCAAGCAUGAACAUCUUACUUUCUUCAUACUGCUAUCAUGUGUAUUUGACAUGGUCUCCAAUGUACAAUUGUACUAUUUCCAAGGAAAAAAUACCUGUUUAUUUGUAGUUAUAUGGAAUAAACAAACUGAUAGCUUACUAGCCUAGGUGUUUAUGCAAAGCGAAAUGAAAAUUUUGAUAUAACCAAGUAACUCAAAUACAAAAAUCUGCCAUGUCUGGAAUAUGUAAAGUCAUAUUGAAUGGCAAAUUAUCCUGACAACAAAAACCAUGUUAGAAAGCCAACCUACCCAUUUUUGGAUUCAGCAGACAAAGUCUUCAUUUAGGUAGCCGUUCUCCUUUCUGUCAACAAUUUCCUCUUGCUCUUAAAGGAAGUCAACCUAUCUCUGUUAGGAUCUUUUGGUUGCACUUUGCCCUCAGUCAUGCCAUGGUGUUUCUGAACCAGCCUUUGCCUUCCAGUUUUCCUAGAAGGCCCUCUUGCAUUCAAAAUUUUCUUCUUAUUUGUUCUUGACCCACUACUUCGGGCGUUUCUACAAGCAUGCGACAUACUCUCACCUUCUUCUUCCUCCUCCUCAUCAACAAAUUUGUAGUCAUCAUCAUUCUCAAAAUCAGAAUUCAUCUCAAGGACGCCCUGACUAUCAUCUUUUUCUCUUUGUUCCUUAGAAUCAGGGACUGGCUUCUUCUCUUGUUUACUUCCACCAGGCACAUCAGUUGCUUUUCGAUCUUCAAUUACAAUGUUCAUGAGAUGAACAUACUGACUCCUAAUACUUAUCAAUGGAUUCUUCUCCAUUAACAUUCCCCUCUUGUAGGCCUCCUUUAAAACCACGGUAUAAGUUCCCAAUUUACCUGACAAGUAAAAUAUACCUGGAUGGUGAAGCAAUGCUCUCUUUAACCUUGACCGGAUCCCCAACCACUCUCCCAGACACAACAAAGUGUGCUUCUCCACCUUCUUCGAAACAAAAAGGCUAAUAAUCUCGUGCAUUACACCCACCGUCCACUUGUCAGAUUCAUCAGUGCUAGGCCCAAGGUGUGUUGCAUUCUCAUAUGGAGAAAUAUAAGGCAACUUUUGCCACUCAUCAACCCAUUUCUUCAACUGCUUAUCCAUCUCAAAACCUUUUGAAAAAUGCAUAGGGAAAGCAAAAGGCAUCCCCUUUUUAUAAUCCAUUUUCCCUUUCGCUGCCUUAUUUUCUAUGAAUGAAACAGCCAAUUCAUUACUCCAACAGACUAGCUCCAAUUCCAAAUCUGAAUCCAACCCAGAUGACAAAUUCUUAUUGCCGAUAACUCGAAAACAGUCAGGAAACUCAGGAACUAUACUCUUCAGAUAAUCUUCAGGUAAACCCAAAUCCCAUUUUAUAUCAUUCAAAAUCUUCAAUGGUAUUUUAUUAAUUCUCGAAAUCAUUAACAAUUUUAAGAGUCUAUCAGCAGUAUCCUGCCUAUAACUCUCACUCUGGUAAACUAACUGCUCUUCAGCAUCAAUAUCAAGUACCUCUUGCUUAAGCUUGAUAUGUGGAUGGACACCUAUUCCUCCAGGGAGAAAUUCUUCGAAAAUUGAAGGGUAUUUUCGGAUGAAUUCGAUAGGGCGAGUUGGGAUUUCCAGGGAGUCCUUUUGCUGAGUAAUGACGGAGAGAGGGAGGGAUUUCGCUGGCUCUGAUUUUAUGAGGUUCUUGAUGUUCAGCAUUGGCUUCAGAUGCUUUUCUCUCUGUACUGCAUGGUCGAGGCCCCGGUCGCGUAGGUGUUUGAUGGCAGCAAAGUCUACGAACCCACGAUGGUGGGGGCUGCGGAGACGGCAGUUUUUGGGGUGAUAACGGAAGAGGAACUGCAUUUCUUCAGAGGGUUGAGGUUGCUACUUGCUACUGCUUCCUUUGAAGUGCAGUAAAUUUAAAUCAAGGAUCUAGGGCAUUUUUAGUUUGGGCGUCAGAUAGCGGGAUAGCUAUAAUAAUAUUUACAAAGAAUUUACAAUAUAGUACCUAAAGUUUUAAUAAACUCACAAUUUAAUUUCUGUUAUUUUAAAAAUAAAUAAUUUAAUUUCUUAUAUUUCAUUCAAUUAAUAAAAUAAUUUUUUUAAUUUAUUAUUAAAUUAUAAUAAUUUAAUUUUUUAAAUUUAUUUUUUAUAAUAAUUUAAUCUUUUAAUUUUAAUAUUCAUAACCAUUUAAAUGUUAUAAUUUUAAUAUUUAUAAUAAUUUAUAAUUAAUUAAAAGUAAAUUUAAUAAAAUAAUAAUUUUAUUAAUAAAUAAAAACUCAUAAAUUAAAUUAUUUAUUAUUAAAAAAAUAAAAUAAAAAAAUAAAAACUCAUAAAAACAAUUAAUUGCCAAUAAUAAAUAUAAAAUAUAUAGGUGGAUCAAUAAAAAAUUAAAAGUAUUCAAAUAAUUUAAAAAAAAAAAAAAAACUUUUAUUCUCUUAUCCCUCUGAAAAGCCUUAUAUAUAGAUAAUAGAUUAUUAGUGCUAAUCUUAAAAUUUUUUUAUUAUUAAACUGGAUAUAUGAUUAUUUUUUAUACUAUAUAUGAAAUUUAAAAAUAUAAUUAUUCUUUUAAGUGUAUUAAAAAUAUUGUAAAUUAUUGCUUAAAAUAUUUUUGUAUUUAUUUAUUAUGUUUUGAUUUUAUAUGAAUGUAAAAUAUUAAUUUAAAAAUAUAAAAGUAUGUAAUUAAUAAAUUUUAAAUAUAUAUUAUAACUAAAUAAAAAAAUAAAUCAAAUCAACUGUAAUGAAAAAAUUUUAACAAUAUAGCUGAGCGAAUCUCACCUAUAAACGAAUUUCAUAUGAAAACUAAAAUUUUUUAUUUUUAUUAAAAACAAAAUAUUCAAUUUAUAAUUAAUAAUUAAAUUUUUUAAUGUAAUAAUUAUCCGAAAAUUAUCAUUAUAAAUCUGUUUGAAAAUUAAUUGGAUCGUAGAAAAAUAUUCUCAUAUUAUAUAAAAAUUAUAUAUGAUCGGAAUAUCUUAGUAAUUCUUAAUACACUUUUUUUAAUUAUUUUUUAUAAAAAAAGUAACAAGUAAAAUGAUAAAACGUUUAAUGAUUUCUUAUUCCAUGUUAACGGAAGCUUAAGCGCUUAACUGUAUGAUUUUUCCUCAACAAUGCUGCCCUACAAAAUCGAGGCGAAACAUGCCCAAACCAACAAAUCCACAGUAAAACCUCACACACACACAACUGGGAAACUUCAUUUCUUCCCGCUUUUGGUGCCAUCGCCACCGGAGAUCGGCCAUGGCCGCUUCCUCCGCCAGCAAUCCAUCGCCGGCCGACGUGUCAUCCUCUCGCCCUCCACCCUUCGUAUUCUCUUCCGAUUCCCCGACUAGAAUCUCUCUCACUCCCGAUCAGCGUAAGCAUUGCUCUGAGGCUCUUCAAUUAUUUUCGGAGAAGCUCCGUACUCCCGAUCAAAUCAUUCAAGAGUUCGCUCGUUUGCAGGUUCCGAUCGACUUUUCCUAAUUUUAUCCUUCUAUUGGUUGAGCUAUCAAGGUUUAUUUCAUGAUUGCUCAUGUGAACAAUUUUGGAGUUUUCUUAGGCUUGUUUGCUGAGAAACAUAGUACCAGUAGAAGUAUAAUGUGCGCAUUUUAUUUUUGAAAGAAGUUUAAUGUGCAAUUCUUUGUUCUUAUGAUUAUGGCGAUUUUUUUUUUUUUUUUUUUUGUUUCUUAGCAACUGGAAAUGAAGUUUCAGAAAAGCUCUUUUCGCUAAGAACGCUAUAUGAAUAGAAAUAAGAAAGCCAUAUCACUAGCAUUAAUAUGUGGAAGUAUAGGAGGCAGAUGCAGUUUACAUUGAAAAAAUUUGGGUUGAAGUCUGCUUGUGCUGUUCUUGAUUGGAUAUCUAUACAUGGGAUAAUCAUUAAAAGAUGAAGAACUUAAUCUUGCUUUCUAAGUUGUUUCGGUGACGGGUCCUUUUUGAUUUCAGGCUACUAGGGUAACACCAUCUCAGAUGUCUAGAAGCUGCAAAGUGGCUUUUGACAGUGUCAACACAAGCAAAAACCGUUAUAUGGAUGUGGUACCUUGUAAGAAUUAGUUCACAGAGUUUGUCUUGCAAGUCUAUGUUUGUCAUAUCACUCUUGAAGAUGAAAACUAAUGAUUUGCAGUUCUUUACGCUAUCAAUUUCAGUUGACCAGAACAGGGUUAUUCUUAAUCCAUGCAAAGACUAUAGACCAUCUGCUAAGGGAUAUAUAAAUGCAAGCUUCAUCACGGUUAGCAUUUAUUUAGUCUAUGAUUUAGUUCAUUGUCUCUCAGAAAUCUGGAUGAGGUACUCGAAUCACAUUCCUGCUUGUGACCGUUCAGAGACUUUUCUUUCAUGCAGACUUCUUCAUCUGAAAGCGUUUCUCGGUUUAUAGCCACGCAGGGUCCACUGCCACACACCUAUGAGGAUUUCUGGGAGAUGGUAAUCCAGUAUCAUUGCCCUGUUAUUGUGAUGCUUACUCGGCUAGUUGACAAUUACAAGGUACUUCAAUUUCUUAAGUUGAAUCAUGAAUGUGAUUUGUCACAUAUAAUCACUGUUAAAGAACUUCAUAUAGGACAUGUUGCUUCAAUUCUAAUUAUGCUGCAAUCUCUACUUAUUUUCAGUGAAAAUUUGUUAUUUUAUUUGUAUUUAUAUUGUUUGCUGGAUUAGCUGUCUUUUUCAAAAUUUGUUCAUAAAUGCUAAAUACUAAGAAUCCUUGCUUAGAAAAUAGACAUCCUGCACAGAUUAGGUAACCUUAAAAAGGCCACUUUAUAUUUUUUGUUCAAAGGAACCAAGUAUUAAUAAAUUAAAGUGUUUCUAUUCUAGGUUGUUUAAAUUUAGAUCUUGUUAUGAUUUUGGAUCACUUCUCAAUUUGAGUUGUUUAUGCAGACUAUAAAAUGUGGAGAUUAUUUUCAAGCAGAAGAUGGUCCUAGAGAUUUUGGAAAUAUAUGUCUAGUUACUAAAUGGAUUCGAAGUACUGAUACUUCAUUAGUGUUGCGGAACUUGGAGGUGGGCUAUAAAGAGGUUAGUUUUAUCAUUGAUCAACUUUAGUAUUGUUGAUGGUGUAACGUGAAUUCUUUAGGCAAGAGGAAAUGAGAAACUAUCGAGUGAUGUAUACUAUGAUGUUUCAAUAUAAAAAUAAUGCAGAUAGGGAUUUCUAUUGUUUUCUGUUUAAUAUGUUUAUUUUUGUUUAGGGACUUGUGUUCUUUACCUUACUGGUUGUGAUGAUGGCUAGGGAUUGUAGCUAUAUUUUAGUGGAAGUUAGAAAGUGGUUGAGCAUCAAAUUUGCUACAAGAAUAGUGUUUAAUAUCAAAGAACAGUUUUCAGCAAUGUGGAACCCCAGGUGUUUACAUUUUGAAAGCAAUUUAAUGGUUUUAAGAUAAACACAAUGUGGACAACAAGGGAAGUUGUAGUUAGUAGGUUGGAUGGCAUCCAAUGACCAUAAAUUUUUUAGUCUCCAGUUUAGAGGAGGAUGGAAGGACUAAUAUUCUUAUUUGUAAAUUAUAACAAAUAUUGCUUUUAGAAGAAAGAGAAUUCACUAAAAACUAAUUCACAAAUUAUGUAUUAGUUUUCAUUAGUAAUCAUGAUAAUAAACUCAAAGAAAACUACGCAAGUCGCAUUGGUAUUUAGAAAGUAACAAUAGCAAUCUACUUCUAUUAGGAUUAAGAAAUUAAAAACAAUAAAAUACCAAACCAAUACUUAUUAAGAAUUCGGAACAAAUUUAAAUCAGGAAAAUAAAAAUAAACCUAAUAGAAUUGCUAGAUAUAAUAAUGAUAGAAUUCCUAAAGAACUGUAAACUUCCUAAGACCAUAAUGAACAUAUUUCCUAAGCUGGGAGGGCGGCUUUGGUGUAAUGGUAAAGUUACUCAAUUUAUGAAUUAGAGGUAAUAGGUUUGAAAUGAUGAACAACCUUUCUGCUGGGUACAGUAGCAUACCCCAAUGCUCCCAUAGCACACAAGUGUGGGAUAUUUUGUGCACUCUGUCACCUUCCUUGACUGCAUCGACUAGUCAAUAUUUUUCUUGUAGCAACACCAUGGGAGGUACUUUUGGAUAGUUGAGGAGUUCUUCAAUUGCAUGGUUGACCCAUCAAAAUUGGGCUUUUCCAGGAAGAAAUGGUGGACUCUGAUUGAAUGGGCUUCUUUCUGUAAGUUUUGAUCGGAUGUGCUUGUGUGCUCAAUGUGAUGAAGGCAAGGAAUAACAUAAGUCAUGCUAACUUAAAAUUGGUCUAAAUGUUGCAUUGGCCACCUUUGCUUCACCUGGGUGCAUAUACCAUAUUUGGAGAAACUGUAGGCCACUCAGUUUGUUGGGAAUAUAUAUAAAAUAGUGGCACAGGCCACAGUUUCUGCUAUAUAUGUUGAAGGCUUUAAUUAUAGAGGUGCAUUAACAAAUAUAAAAAAUUAAGGACAUCUAUAAAAUAAUGACCCAGGUGCUGUCAGUUAUUUUGAAGGUUGUAUUGGGAGGUCCUUUGUCAAACAUGAAAGGUCUUUGUUUUGAUGGAGAUGUGUAUGAUUUAUAUUUUCUCAUUGUUGCUGAUGUGUGGCAUAAUUUAAAUGUUAUUGUAUUGUUAUCUUAUAUAAAAUGUAAUCUAAAUUGACUAAGGAGAGUGAUUUGACUUUGACAUAUAUGAGGGGCCUUUCACGUGCUGGAGAUGGAUACAUGAUGGAAGCAUUGUCUUGGGUUGGCUGAUGUGUGGACUUACAUAUAACUUCUAUGACAUUUCACCUCUACUAUGUUAAUCUCAAUACUAUGUACAACCUAAUUGAGUAAGAAGAGUAACAGAGUACAGGGACAAAACUAAAAUGAAAACUGGAAUGGAAAAAUAAAAAACUGCUUUCUAGGAUUCAAUAGGUUCUAGAUCUCCAUUUACCUGUUUUGGAAAAACAAAUCCUGAAUGCAUACAUAUGAAAAGAAAAAAAUGAUAGAAAAAUGUAGAAAUAUUUAUCUUCGCUAUAAUGUCAAUUCAGUCACUGUGCAAUGCAAUCUUGUGACUGAUGAAAUUUUGUACUGACACUAGCAGUUACAUGCCCUCAAAUGUGCUAGCUUUAUUAUUUCCUUGGUCAUAUUCAAGCUUGAGAUUUCCAUUUGCAUAUUGGAAAUUCUCUUAAUGCACUUGCUUCCCCUGUUGUAUUUAUAUUGUCCUACAAAAUAAUGACCUGUAAUUUCCACUGCUGUUAUUAUAAUGUGAAUCUGUGAAUCUGUGACCUCAAGCCAAACAGCAUUCGCAUGUAUUAACACUGAUUAUUAAAUGCCUUAAAAAUGCUGGCUUCAUUUUCCCUCAAGCUGGGCAUUUUCACCUGUAUGUUUCAGGUUUAUUUCUAGUUCUGGAUGGUGGCUUUUAUUAGUAAAACAUGCUUUUCACUUGAGAAGUAGCAACUAGCAAAUGAGUUAUCACCUUAAUCAAUCCAAAUAUUGACUUGUGGGAUCUUUUUCCUCGGUUAAUUUGGUUGCAGUCAGAGGAGCCACCCAUGUCUGUUUUGCAUGUUCAGUACCCUGAAUGGCCUGAUCAUGGAGUUCCCAAGGACACACUUGCUGUGCGUGAAAUCUUCAAAAGACUAUACCAAGUGCCAUCCAAUCUUGGCCCAGUAGUUGUCCACUGCAGGUUCACUUGAUGUCUCUUUGUUCUUUUUGAUGGCGAGUAACAUUAGUGAUCCACAUAUAUCUGACACAAUGUCUCUCUUCUUCAGCGCAGGUAUUGGUAGAACUGGAACCUACUGCGCAAUUCACAACACAAUCCAGAGAAUUCUUGUUGGAGACAUGUCUGCUUUAGAUCUUGCUAACACUGUAACCAGUUUUAGGUCUCAGAGAGUGGGGAUGGUUCAAACUAAGGUAUUUAUAUCUUCUUAAACUUUGGUUUUCUUGAUUCAUUUACUUUGUUUUAACUGAUUCAUUUAUUUAAUUGAGUUUAUAAAAGUUUUGAAUGCCAAUUUCAACAUGCUGACCUAUUGGCAUGCUUUGAGUGCCUUAUACCAUGAAACACAUGAAUGCAAAAUGAAAGUAUGGCUUUAUUGCUGAAGACAUGAUGACAGAUUUUUGGAGAAUUACCUUGUAACCAAGUCACUAGCAGUGUUAUAUUGACUCCUGAACAAAGUCCUGGAAAAAUUAAAAUAAAAAAUGUAAAAGUUGGAAAGACUUUUUGCAUUGUUUGUCUGGAUUCAAUGAGAAAUGCUUUUAACAAAUUUAAUCAGAUAACCUAUUCAAGUCUUGACAGUGACCUUCUCAGCAGCUAAAAUUUUUUGUUUCUCAAAUUUGCAAAGAAAAGGGGAAAAAGAUCAGAACAAAUAUAUUGAAGUUACUAAAAUUCAUUUUGUGUUAUAACUUGUCUGAGACCUAAAUCAUAUUGUUCCACCAAUGCAGUUUCUCUGUAUAUCUUCACAGGUUCAUUCCCUCUCUCCCCUGAGACCACCCCUUUCCUUCUUCCACUUUCUUUUUGGUUUUUGAUGGGGAUGGUAGGAGGCAUUAUUUCAUUCUUUCAUGUUACAGAAUAGAGAAACAACCGCACUAAAUUUUUCAGUCUUAUUUUUGAAGUACUGGUGUGAUGCCCCUAUCAUUUUUUUACCAUAUUCUAUAGCUUAUUUGGCUUAAUUCACUGUCUACAGGAGCAAUAUUUUUUCUGCUAUAAAGCUAUCGUUGAUGAAUUAGAGGAUCUCAUUUCUGAGGGCAACACUUGAAGGACCUCAAAAUGGUAUCUGUUUCUAGUAAUGCCUGUUUCUUACGGGUUAUUCUUUGUAUCAUAUCAGUCAUUAUUCAACCUUACAAUAGAAAAGAAUUUUUUGUUUUCAUAUGUUUCCUCUUUCCUGUUGUUCCUUGUUUGUUGUACAAUACCAUAUGGAAAUUCAGCUGACGCUUCUUCUCUCUUUUAUGGCGCAGCUAGAUCAGUGACUAUCGUGUGUGGUUGAAAAUGCUGGGGGAUUAAAUGCAACAGCUGCUUGCUGACUUCUCAGAAGCAAGGACCGGACAAACGCAAAUUGAUGAUGCGUCAAUGGGAUUGUUGCCCUCCGCAGCAGCUACAUGCUCUGAUUAAACAUGACCAAAUUUGUACUCUUUAAUCCUCAGCUGGAAGCUGUGUAGUUUAACUUGACACUUUCAUUUUUCAGUACCUUAGCGAAUUAUCUCUAAAUUACCAGAAUUUAAUCACUGCAUUAUAACUUGCUCAUUUUACCAGAUUGGGUGCUAAAUCAAGCAACCUUGGGAUGCUCAAGGUUGAUUUUUGCAUCAAAUGAAACUGUUGAAUUGUCGAGUUCACAUUUGCAUUAUUUGUGAGAUUGUUCUUGUUGGAAAGUGGAAACACCAAGUGUCAAUAAGACUGCUAGAGAUUUGGUCUACUAUCAUUUUUGUAAUUGUAGUUCUAAUUUGCAUCAUUAAAAAUUAAAAAAAGAAAAAGAAAACACAACUACCAUGGUGGCCGGCAACCACUGCCUGAGGUGAUGCCAUUUGUUUUCAAUUUAAGCGGCUGCCUUUCCAAUAAUUGCUUUCCUGGAAUCUGUCUUUCACAGAUCAAUUUUCACCAAAAAGUCGGUGGGUUCUGCAACGCUUUUUAUUUUUCUUCGCUCUCUUGAUAUGUGUUGAUUGAUGGGGAGAAUUUGAUUUCUAGAAAUCCUAUUUUCUACUCUAAAACAAAUGAAGGUGGCUAAUUAAUUUAGGUUAGAUUUGACGCAUGAUUUGUUCUCCCCUUAAUUGGGUGAGGAAAGAUGAUUAAUUAGCAACAAUUUAUAAUAGUUCCAUUUCAUGAUUUAAAUGAGAUGUUUAUUAAGUUGGCCGUGUGACCACCUAUUUUCAAUCAAUUGAGGAUUUUAAUUAUUGGAAGUUACAUUCGCUUCACACUGGUUUUUUAUUUAUGUGGAAAGACAGUGAAUUUCACGUAUAACAAUUAUAUUCAAAUUUAACAAAGUUAUAUAUUAAUUUUGAUAUAAUUAAAAAAUUAAAAAAGAUUUAUAGUGAAAUUAAAUUAAACAUAUAUAAUGAGUUUAAUUUAAUUGUUAUUUAAAUUUAUUUUAUAAUAAAUAAACUUAAAAUUUUGAGAUGGGUUAUAGUAUAUUCAUACUAAAACGAAUAAAAGUCUAAAUCAGCUCCUAAAACUUUUUAUCAAAGUUUAAGUAAAUUUAAAUUGAUUAAGUUCAAAUAAAAAUAUCCAAGUGAAACAGUGAUGUGUAAUUUUACAAUUCCCAUUUUGGAAUGAUUUCAUCUAUUUAUUACGCUGUGCAAUUCCAAUUUUAGAAUGAUUUUUGCUGGAACUGAAAUCAAAAUUAAAAGUUGGCUUUUUCAAUUUUUUGAAAUCAGAAUUAAAACUAAAUUUCCAUACGAUUUUCGGUUCAGUGUAUUUUCAAUUGCAGUUCGACUAUAAUAUCAAUUUUUAUUUUUAUUUUAGUAUGAUUCUAUUUCUAUAAUAAAAUUUAAACUUGAAUAAAAUAAUUAAAUAAAAAUUUAAGUUGUGUAUAGCUAUAAUUUACCUAAUAAAUAAAUUAUACAUUAUAAUGAUGUAAGAAUUUGUAUUAAAUUAAAGUUAUUUUCUUUUAUUUUUCACACUGUAUUUUUAAUAUUUUAAAAUUUAAUUAAAAUAUUUUAACAUUAAUAUGAUUUAAUUCCUCUAUAUUAUUAAAAAUAAUAUACUAUUAUUACUAAAUCGAUUAGAUUCAAUUUUUUUAAAUUUUUUUGAUAAAAUCGAACCGAAUCAAAAUAACUGAAAUUUUUAAAAUUAAAAAUUAAACUGAAUCGAAUUUAAUCGAAAUGAAUAAAAAGUCAAACUAAAAUUUUAAAUUAAUUCGAUUAUUAAUUUUUUCGAUUUAAAUAGAAUAUUGCUCACUCUAAUUCUAAUAUUUGAGUUUAAUUAAUUGUGCCCUAACAGAAACCAAAAUUGAAUUAAAACAUCUUUAUGAGUUGCUAUAAAAUUCAAGAACUACCAAUAAUUUGAACUUUCUUGUCAUGUUCAUUAACUUCAUUUAGAAUCACCAUAAAAAAUUUAGUAAUUUUUAUAUGAAAUAAGUAAUAAAUAGAUUUAAGUUAAAAAAUUUAUAAAUAAUAUUAGUGAGAUUAUGUUAAUAUAAUAAUAUUAUGAGUCCAAACUUAGUUAAAGAUAAAAUAAGCAAAAAAGGAAAAAAUUUACAAACUCAACAACACAACUGAAUAAUAAAUGUUUAAUAGGCAAUUUUUUUUUAAAAAAAAUAUGGAGGCUGAAUUUUUUUUUCAUACAUAAAAAUAUAUUGUGAUUUAAUUAAUUUUCUAUUUAUAAAUAUACAAUUUAAUUUAUAUUAAAAUAGUAGUUUAUGGUAUUACACGUGUUAAUAAAUAAAAAUAAUUUAUAAAUAUUAUUAAAAAAUAUUGAAGUGAAAACACAAAUUAAAAUAAAUCCUAAAAUAAAAUCAGAUAAUAUUUUUUUUAUAUUUUCUCCCUAAAAAAUUAAAAAUAAUAUGAAUCAAUAACUAUUUUUUGAUUAUAUGGUUAAUAUUUUCUAUGAUAUUUAAAAAUUAUCAUUAUUGAUAAUUUGAUAUAUAUUAUUUUUAUUUUUCCCUAUUAUUUUUAUUGAUUAUUGAAUUAAAGUUUGUUUUUUAAAACAUGAAGUGUACAGAAUACGCGCCAAGGAUGAGAGUGGGCAAUGGAGAAAUUCUAAAACCGGCAAACCAUGGUUAAGGAAUACUAGAAAAUAAGUAGUCUGCUUGUUUUGGGACUUUGACUCUCUCUCUCUCUCUAUCUCCGUGUCUGUCUGUCUGCUGUUUGCAAUGGGUGCCGAGCUUAGACUCUCCCUGUGCGCCUUCUCACUUCUCUGCCCUUUUCCCCUUCCUUAAAGCUUCCUUCUUUAUUUAUGCAUUUUCUGAUCUUUUCUCUAGUAACAGGAACUCGAAUCUCUUCUAUCUUCUCACAGAUCUCUAUCUCUGCCUGGUAAGCUUUACCCAUCUAUUUUUAACUCUUUUGUUUUCAAGCAUGUUCUAAUUUGCUUAUUUUGUCCCUGCUGUGUUUCUCUAGUAUUGGUUGAUCUUUGCAGUUGGCUAUGGUUUACGGGUUCUCCUUGUUUUUAUCAGUUUCUUAUUCUUAUUUAAUUUGGUUGUGAUUUGGCUUUUUAUUCCCGAAUUUGUUUUUUUUCUGCUCAAAUUUUGACGUGUGUCUUCUUGGCCUCUCCCUAAUUUUAGAUACACCUACUCUUGUUUGAUUCGAUUUUGGUCUUCUUACUCUGUUUGAUAUGCUGGUGGCAAUUUAUGUGCUGGCUGUUUUAUUGAUUUGCAGUAUUGGGGACUUGUUGUUAAUGGAUUGGAGCUCUGGUGGUGAUCAAAAUUGGUAUUAUGGUAAUUUUAAUGUGGCAAGGGACUACAUUUUUGGAUUCGAAGUGAUAUAGAUGAAUCCUGUGGCUUUUUCGAAAAGGGUGAUUUUGGUUUGACACUAACCAUCUGGUUCUUGAGCUUCUGGUAGUGCUUUGAUUCAAGGAUUUUCAUAAUUCUUUGAGAUAAACAAACUUCUUUGUUAUUGCAUGGGGAUUUUGAGCAAAAAUUGAAGUGUAUCCUUUGCAGUGAUCAUUGCAAUGGGGGGGCUUUGCUCGAGGAGUUCGACUGUAGAUAAUGCUCCCGGUGGAGGCUUUCCACAUAUGAAUGGUCAUUUUAAUGGCUCUGGCUUCGUUUAUCAGUCCCGCCAAUUGAAAAUAAAUAGCAAUAUAAAUCCUUCUCCAGUUGGGGAAAAUGUUGAAAAUAAGCAAGUAAGAGAACCCUUUUCAUUUCCAGAGGUAAAUGUGGUUUCACCAUAUGGGAUGGACGGAAAUGAUAUUGAUGAUGGUAUUCCUCGUUUAUCAAGGGCUUUAUCAAAUAAAUCUAGAUCAACCAAGUCUAAGCAGGCUGCUGUUGCGAAGGUAUGUCUACACUUAAUUUGAUCGUACUCGUAUACUGGUUAUUUUUUACUUAAUGAUCUGUUUUCAACUUAUAUUCUUCCUUUGUUACAUUUUAAUCAAGAAUCUGUUCGUCUACUAUUUGAGAUGUGUUAUAAGAGGGUUACUUGGUGUUUCCUUUUAGUUUUGAAUUGUCUCCAAUAAAUUUGUUGCUGAACUUCUGCCUCAGGUUCCUAAUAUCAAAUCCUUUAGAAUGGAAGAUGUUAAAAGGUUAAAUCACUUAAAACGUGUAAAGUGCUAAAAAUUAUGUGGCAUCCUCAAAAACUACUAAAUGAAUGUCCAAAAUUUGAAAUCUGAUAGGUGAAGUAGCAAACUGGAUCUCUCCCCUUCUCUAAAUUUUUCUUUUUUAUUUGUCCCUUCACUUUAUUUUCUUUUUUGAUGUUUUUUUCUCAAGUCCUAAAUUUUUGUUUGAGAAAGUUACAUGGGAUUCUUUGCCAUGGAGAACAAAAAUUUUAAACUGCAGAGAUAUGAAUCUGUAUUAUGUUUAAACUGACUAUUAACUCAUUGUUAAGAUUUUGUGAUGAACUUGAAAUGCCAUUUUUUUUAAAUGUAAAAUUGUUUCCCAUUAAAAUACAUUGUUUGUAACAGCGAACAUAAUAAGAGCUUCUGAACUAUAAUAAAUUAAUAACUACCUGGGCCAUUUCCAAUGACUCAUGAUUCAUGGUCGUAAUUAGAAGCCAAAUUGAUUACCACAAAUACAAAAUUUAUACAAAAGCUAUAGUCUUUUCCUAUGUCAUUAUAUAAGCAUAUUUAAAACGAAAAUUAUAAUAUUAAAUAUUUCUUUCAUAGUAUAAAGUUUCAAAUUUCAAAUAAAAUUUUAAAAAUAAUUGCUCUCUACUUCUAUUUGAAUUAAUUGAUUUUUAAUAUAAUACUGCACUAAAUUUUUCUUAUUUCUUUCUGGCUUUAAAACCCAUCGUGUAGCCCGAGUUUCAUUUCAUUUUUUUUUUUUGGGCUGAAUGCUCUUUAUUUCUUUUGGGCUUUUAAAACCGUGAGCUUAUAAACUCAUCUUUCUACUGGUUUUAAUGUUUUAACUGGUGAUUUUUUUUAUCGAUUUUAUAUGAAUUCAAUUUUUUUUACUUUUUGACUCAUUUGCAUGAAUUGAACUUGUAAAAUCCUACGAGCUUACUUGUGAUUUGGACAAAAAUGGUUCUCAUGUUGCUGAUAUGCAUGUUGGUAAAUUGAUGCUCACAUGUAAACCUCUUUUUCAAUGACAAGAAUAGAGGUGAAAGAAGAGCAUGUUCUGUGGGUGUUUUGUGCUGACCUAGGGUUCGAUAAAUUGAUGACUUAAAAGUGUGAAUUGUUUUAGAGAAAAUCACAGGAGAUGCAAGGUAACAAUUAAUAUUUGGUAGAUGCUCGGUGGCUGAAAACAUUCAGGUUGCUAAUUUACUGCUGGAGUUCUCAACAUAAAUGUAGUUAUUGUUUUUUGGCUUGUAUUUGAUGGAUGGUUGAUGGGGAAGCUCAGAGAAUGCUACAUCCUAAUAGAGUAUGUAAGGAUGCAUUGAUGAGUUAGGCUUUAUUCAAUGGUGUCUUAGGUAUUCUACAUCCUUUCUUUGAGGAAGGAAAAAAGAGUAAGAAGUAUAUGUGGGUUGAGGAGACAAAAUAAAAAACAGUGUAGGAAAAUGCAUAUCUGUCGACCAGAACUAAAUAGUAAACAGUCAAUAUUUUAUUUUCAAACUCUAAGAAAAUAAUUAAAAGGCAUUAUAUUUAUGGGUACUCUUAAGAAAAUGAGUUAGGUCUAAUUCACCUCCAAAAGCUAGCUAAAGAGGAAAGGACUGCCCAAGGCUUCAUAAGUGGUAUAUUACCUCUAUUCCAAACCAUUGUGUAAAUUUACACACCUAGAAGCGUGAAAGAUGUAUGAGAGGCAUAAUAUCGGAUGGAGAGGCUCUUAAGAAGUAAGAACAUAGAGGUCUAAUUCAUCUAUAAAACCUAGUUCAAGGGGGGAGGAGUUCCAACUUCCAAGGCUUUAUAGGAGGCAUAUUACUCCUAUCCUAUACCAAUGUUGCAAUGUUGGAUUUAACAGAUAAACUAGACUUUUACCUGCCUUAUAAUUUUUAUUGUUGUUAUUAUUACUGUUAUUACUAUUAUUUGUUUGAUUCUAAGCAGGAAAAUUUCAGAUGUAGUUUGAACUUGAGAAAUAAACACAUGAGACUCUUAGAUGAAAUCGUAGAAUACACUAGACUUGUCUUAAAUUAUCAGAAGUACACAUUAAAUUGAGGGAACUAACACCACCACCCCUCCAAAAAAGAAAGAAGAAGAAGAAGAAGAAUAAGGAGAAGGAGAAGGAGAAGGAGAAGAAGAAACACUCAUAAUCAUUUGAAAUCCCUAAAUUGAAAUUACUUUGACCUUAAGGUCCCCUUUGGUUUUGGGAUAUUGACUUCUUUGGCAACACUUUUUAAAUGGCUAUGAGAUAUUAACUAGUGGUGGUAAUUCUAAUUCCUCACCCUCUAUAAACUAAAAAUGGAGAAGGUUCUAUUACUUUGUAAUUCUUGAGUCACAUUGUAGCAGUUAUAAUGUGAGACCUCCAAGAUGAAACCACAAGUUUCACCAUGGAGUUAAUUUCACCUAUUAUACCUUAAGUUUGGUGGUUAUAUCAAUAACAUAGCUCAACUUCAAUUUAUAUUAUAAAUUACUUAAACUGUGACCUGCUGUCACCGGUAUACAUAUAACAAAAUUUCACUUUUAGUUCCUUAACUUAGAUAAUUGUACCA
rnacentral:lncRNA from 1 species